rnacentral:rRNA from 1 species
UGCCAGACUCCUACGGGAGGCAGCAGUGGGGAAUAUUGCACAAUGGGGGAAACCCUGAUGCAGCGACGCCGCGUGAGCGAUGAAGUAUUUCGGUAUGUAAAGCUCUAUCAGCAGGGAAGAAAAUGACGGUACCUGACUAAGAAGCCCCGGCUAACUACGUGCCAGCAGCAGCGGUAAUACGUAGGGGGCAAGCGUUAUCCGGAUUUACUGGGUGUAAAGGGAGCGUAGACGGCAAUGCAAGCCAGAUGUGAAAGCCCGGGGCUCAACCCCGGGACUGCAUUUGGAACUGUGUAGCUGGAGUGUCGGAGAGGCAGGCGGAAUUCCUAGUGUAGCGGUGAAAUGCGUAGAUAUUAGGAGGAACACCAGUGGCGAAGGCGGCCUGCCGGACGAUGACUGACGUUGAGGCUCGAAAGCGUGGGGAGCAAACAGGAUUAGAUACCCGAGUA